rnacentral:rRNA from 1 species
GACGAAUGCUGGCGGCGUGCUUAACACACGCAAGUCGAACGGAAAGGCCCUGCUUUUGUGGGGUGCUCGAGUGGCGAACGGGUGAGUAACACGUGAGUAACCUGCCCUUGACUUUGGGAUAACUUCAGGAAACUGGGGCUAAUACCGGAUAGGAGCUCCUGCUGCAUGGUGGGGGUUGGAAAGUUUCGGCGGUUGGGGAUGGACUCGCGGCUUAUCAGCUUGUUGGUGGGGUAGUGGCUUACCAAGGCUUUGACGGGUAGCCGGCCUGAGAGGGUGACCGGCCACAUUGGGACUGAGAUACGGCCCAGACUCCUACGGGAGGCAGCAGUGGGGAAUAUUGCACAAUGGGCGGAAGCCUGAUGCAGCAACGCCGCGUGCGGGAUGACGGCCUUCGGGUUGUAAACCGCUUUCGCCUGUGACGAAGCGUGAGUGACGGUAAUGGGUAAAGAAGCACCGGCUAACUACGUG